rnacentral:rRNA from 1 species
GAUAAACGCUGGCGGCGUGCAUUAGACAUGCAAGUCGAACGAACGACCUCGGGCUUGCCCGGGGAAGUUAGUGGCGAACGGCUGAGUAACGCGUAGGUGACCUGCCCUAGAGUGGGGAAUAACUGCCCGAAAGGGUGGCUAAUACCGCAUAUGGUCAUGAGUUCAGUCUCAUGUCCAAAGCCUUCGGGCGCUCUUGGAGGGGCCUGCGUUCGAUUAGCUCGUUGGUGAGGUAACGGCUCACCAAGGCGACGAUCGAUAGGUGGUCUGAGAGGAUGAUCACCCAGACUGGGACUGAGACACGGCCCAGACAACUACGGUUGGCAGCAGUCGGGAAUUUGCCCAAUGGGGGAAACCCUGAGGCAGCAACGCCGCGUGAGGGAUGAAGGCCUUCGGGUUGUAAACCUCUUUUCUCAGGGACGAUAAUGACGGUACCUGAGGAAUAAGCCACGGCUAACUACGUG